GACAUGGCAGGAAAGAUUUGCAAUUGAAAUCACCAAAAUGUGUUUGGAUUGGUUCAUGGUAAUGAGGCUGGAUUGAUAAUACAGCGUGAUAAACUCUCUUUCCCUGAAUUCAACUGGGCCGAUCACUUUGGGCUCCUGAGACUCUGGGAGGCAUGGAAAGCCUCAGCGCAAAUCCCUGACCUCGGAUGUAAUCAAAUAAUGAGGCUGUUUGAGGACAUUACUUGUUAACAUAUUAACAGUUAGAAAGUUUCAGUUAUCCAAUCAAGCGGCAGAAAAAACAAUACCACGUGGCUUAAAAGACCAAACAGACACCGCGAUUAAAGAAUGUGAACUGAUGGCAAACAACCCAACAGACCAAAGAUUGGUUGUUCAAGCUACCUAGCAAAGAGC